GGUUGAAAUUUUGCAGGGUUGUUGAAAUCAAAUUUAGGGACUUUACUGACGGGACUCUGGGCUGGCUGCUCUGUUCACUCGUCAGCGCAAGUGGCGUGACCAAGUAAUUGGGGCACGGGGCCGGCGCGGCGCGCUGCGGGCUUGCAGAAUUUUGUUUGUUUGUUUGGCCGCACGCUGGCGCAGCCACGGGCCGCAGUUACUGGGGCGCGCUGUCGUAACAAGCCGCGCGGUGUGGCCUGCACAUCGGGGUAGAGGGGGGGUAGUCUUCCCAGAUGUUCUAGUUAGUUGUUUAGUAAAUUUGACUUCAAUAACGAGCUUUUGUUAUGGUAGGCGCGGCAGGGCGCGCGAAUUUAAGCGCAAGUGAUUGGUGACUCGGGGCUCACUCAGGCGGAGGCUAUGCGUCUCACCUGUGGUCACGAGUUGUUAGUUCGUUCGUGAUGUAGGAAUUCAAGCUUUCGGGCGGAAGCUAUGGCCGACGCCAGAGGCCACGAGUCGUUUAAUUUAAGUUAGGUCAUAAUGUAGUCAUCUUCAAGCUUUCGGGCGGAGGCAAUGGUCGACGCCAGAGGCCACGAGUCGUUUAAUUUAAGUUAGGUCAUAAUGUAGUCGUCAAGCUUUCGGGCGGAGGCUAUGGCCCUCGUCAGGGGUCACGCGUCAUAGUUUUUAAAAUGUAAUGUUCGUUCGGGAUUUCAAGGGCAGGAGAGGCCCCUACGUUAUUUUUUUAAAGUAAUCGAUCAAGAAAGGCUUUUCGGAAAAUGUGAGUAUGGACUUAUCUUUGUUUUAAUUUUAAGUAAUAAUUAUGAUUUGAGGUAUUCGGAAGGACUAGGGAAGUGUUUAGUGAAGUUCUCUCAUUCUCUCUCUUGUAAGGUCGUUCAAUCGUUAAGGAAGUAAAGAGAUUAUUGUUUUAAAUUGUAAUCCCGCUAUUUAAAUGUUCUUUAAAAUGAUGUUGAGUAUUUGACUUUAAGAAUAAAAUAAUUUUAAUUAAGUAUUAUGUUAUUUUGCAAAAUCUCCUUAGUUCAGCUCUCACCAGACAUCCUGUACGGGAUGACGAACCUAUGAUCCUAGGUACAGUAAAGUAUUUUAUGAAGUUAAGACUAGUUGAUGCCAAGCGAGUUGUUUCUAUGUAAAGAGCUACGAUUCUCUCCCCCCUCUGAAGGUGCACGUGACAGAAAUGGUAGAGUUCGCCGGAUAGGUUCUAUUUCUGGAGAGAGAGAGAGGUAGAUUUUUAUGUUUAUUAUUAAGUUAGUUUCAGCUUCUGAUAGCAGGUUAUUAAGAGUUUACUUGAGGAGAGGAUUACGGAAUUUUAGUCUAUAGUGGAGGAAGUCUUUGAGAUUUUUUUUUUGACGUAACAGAUGUUUAUUUGAGUAUACUUGUAAGGAUAAAGUUUAUAGUGAUAAGUUGUUUUAAGUCGUUGAGUUUAUCAGGGAUUUUUACGUGAGGAGAAUACGUUAUAAUUUAAAUGAUUAAUAGAGAUAAUGCAAGUGGUUUAAUUUAAUUGAAAUUAAUUUUAAGAUUGUAGGUUAAGAGAGUUAAAAUUUAAAAUAAAGUUUUUUUCGUAAAUAGGAAUUAUUUUCAAGAGAAGUUUGUUUUGUUUUCGUGCGCGUAGGAGACGAGACGUACGAAUUAAAUCAGUCGAGGGAAGGAUAAACGUUAGAAAGGAAUUAAAGAGAAAACGAGAGUUUAUGUAAAAGAGAGUUAUAGAAUUUAUAGUGAUGUUUUGUUUUAAUUAGAAAAAUGUUGAGAGUUGUUUCAGAACGACACGUCAGUGGACGUGGCAGAGUGAACACGUGACGGGGAGGUGCUGAGACCUAGCGGAGAACGGAGGAACCGCAAGCGAGGGUUGGCGCACCUGAUGGAAUUCGGUGACGUCACGGGCUCAUACGGAGACGUGGACAGGCCGUGACCUUGUUUUGAUCAGCUGUACGGUAACUUAGCGAUAAGAAAAUAGACUAUUGGUUAAAUAAAUUUAAAUUUAAGUGUGUUUUAGGAGAAGAGGAACUUUCAGUAUAUUCCUUAAGAUGAGCUGAGCAGCAGUCCAGUUUACAAGAUGACAAGAGUUCGAGAGACAAGAUACAAGAUCACUGAAACAAGAGCCAAGACUGAAGAUUCAAGAGAAGAGAAAGCUGGCAGCCAUGGACUUACAAGUGGAGAUUAAUAAGGUCAUGUAAAGUUUUAUUUUUUUUUAUGGAAGACAGUAACUGGAGUUUUUUUUUUGUUAUAAACAUUAUUUACAGAACUUUUUAGGUUAUAGUAAUGUAAUGGAACUAGUGAGUUGUGGUAGCUGUCAAAAAGAACUAAUACCUUAAGUUUAAUUUUUAAAGUUAAUUUUCUUAAUUUACAGAGGGAUUAGUAGUUUUUUUUAAAACCUUAUUUAGGUUGGAAUUUAAAUACAAUAGCUUAUUAUAAAUGUGUACGAACAGUUCAAGUUCACAGUACUGAUAGGUAGGUCAGAUGAUCUUAUUGAUUUUGAUGAUUUGUUGUUUUGAGUUGAUUUUUAAGUGUUGUGAAUUAGACAAUGAAAUAGUUCUGAAAACUUAAAUUAUUUCAAGCUAAGAAAUAGUAAAGUUAAUUGUAACUCAAAGGACACCAGAAUUUAAUUUUUUUUUGAAUUAGUAAUGUUUGAAAAUUUUAUACUUUACAAGAAAGGUUAUAAACAAACAGAUCGGAUGGAACAAGGAUGCAGUAAAUCACAAUUUCAUUUAGAAUUAUUGAUUAGCUUUUGAGGUUAUGAAGUAAAAGUAAUUAUAGUUUAAAAGUUUGAAUAAAAAAAAAAUGUUUUUUUUUAUUUGUUUGAAAUAGAAAGUUUAAAAGUUAAUUAGUCAUGAUCUAGGUGGGUGAUGGGGUGGGAAUUGGCCACUCUUUUUCCCUAUAACCUCCCUAACAUGGCCUUCUAUUACAACUAACAGAAAUAAAGAAGAAGAAAAA